AUGAAGAGAUUUUUGAGGGGCUUAUCGAGCCGAAGCUCGAAGGAUAAGCAAAGUGAGGAGGAUAAGAGGCCCAAGUAUAAUCUCCCUCGCACCGCGGAAGUUCGGCCGUGUGAAUGGCCUUGUGAUAAUUUCUUGAGAGCAGCCAGGAUUUAUGAUGAUUUCUAUGAAUUGGAUGAGAAUGCAGGCCUCACCGCCUUCCUCCACGACCAACGCAAACAGUAUCUCUUACUCACCAAUAUCUUUGUGCAAAACUUCCAUUUCCAUGCUAGGAGCUCACCACCUAUGGUGGAAUUUUAUUUAUAUGAUGAGCAUAAGGAGAUGUCACUUCAUGUUUUUUGUUGGGUUUGUUUGAUCCCUUUCGAGGGCAACGUAGAGGAACCCCAUUGUGACGAUGUGGAUGGGUUAAUUGACACCAUUACUGUAGGGGAAAUGAGGAAGUUUCCGACGCACGAAUUACUAGCAUACACUUUCCCGUUCUACGUUACUUUGCUAUAUUUGCUAGUAGAUGCUUAA
rnacentral:rRNA from 1 species